UACUGAAAGAAAAAACAUUAAAACCUAAAAAAAGGGAAAAGAACAUGCCUCGAUGCAGCUGAAGAAAGUAAAUUACCUAUACGAGACCAAAUAUCCAAAGCACUUAGCACACGCCCCUACCCUUGUAUGAAAGUGCCUACCUUGAUAACGGGUCAUAAAAUGAUUUGGUUUAUUAGAAGGCAAGGCCAUUACUGGUCAGCUUACCGAUGGAAUGAACGAAAUAUGAACAAUUAACAUAAUAUGGUCAUAGAUAUUAAGUUAUAGCUUAAUAGUCGAUGUUUCACCAAAAUCAUUUCAAGACAACUUGACAUGGACGGCAGUCUAUUGGUUUCCAUAAUAGAAUUGGGGAAAAAUGAAAUUGUAAGUUGAGUUGUGAAAUUGAAACAAUUACAAAUUAAGUGACUAAAAUGAGUAAGUUUGAUAAAUGGCUUAUUUAUUUAUAAAUUUGAAGACUACAAACUGUUCUCGUGCAAAUUUCGCAACCAUACAUCAUGAUAAGCAAACUAGAUAGUUCAUGCAUUAAUUGUUUUGUUGAUAAACACAUCUAGGUUUAUCAACUUAGACCAAGACAAUUUUCAUACAUAGUUUUCGACGAGCAAAAUCUACCAGGUUGAUGAUUUCAUCAUCAUCAACGAGCCCAUCGCCAUCUUUAUCGGCUUUCCCGAUGGCGUAUUCACUCUUCAUACCCUUAAACCAGCUCUCUCUUUUGGCGUCGCGAAAGGCAUCGUGGAGUUCCUUGCUGCUUAUCUUCCCAUCGUUGUUCUUGUCAUACUUCAUCAACCAUUCUUUGAACUGUUUCAAAUUCAUCCCUCCAUUUCCAGGAACUCUGACACCAUGAUUACUCACCAUCUCUUUGUGCGUCCUACCUUGUCAUGAGUCUUAUGACUUGUGACCUCCCUCAUAUUUAUAGUAUUAUCAUCCUACCUUGUUUUGCCUUCUUUUUGAGGGUUGGGNNNNNNNNNNNNNNNNNNNNNNNNNNNNNGGGGGGGGGGGGGGGGGGGGGGGGGGGAUUAGUGUUGUUUUUCUUGGUUCUUCUCUUGCUAAAUUAAUUGGUUACACAAAAAUUUUUGAUAGAGAUGUUUCCAGUUCUG
rnacentral:lncRNA from 1 species